UACGAGGGGGGCAAAUGUUGUUCGGAAUCACUGGGCGUAAAGGGAGCGUAGGCGGGUGUUUAAGUUAGGUGUUUAAUCCCGGGGCCCAACCCCGGACAGGCACCUAGAACUGGACAUCUUGAAUAGUGGAGAGGACGACGGAAUUGGGGGUGUAGCGGUGGAAUGCGUAGAGAUCCCCAAGAACACCAGUUGCGAAGGCGGUCGUCUGGACACAUAUUGACGCUGAGGCUCGAAAGCAUGGGGAGCAAACAGG
rnacentral:rRNA from 1 species